CCAGACUCCUACGGGAGGCAGCAGUGGGGAAUAUUGGGCAAUGGGCGCAAGCCUGACCCAGCAACGCCGCGUGAAGGAAGAAGGCUUUCGGGUUGUAAACUUCUUUUAUUCGGGACGAAGAAAGUGACGGUACCGAAUGAAUAAGCCACGGCUAACUACGUGCCAGCAGCCGCGGUAAUACGUAGGUGGCAAGCGUUAUCCGGAUUUAUUGGGUGUAAAGGGCGUGUAGCCGGGCUUACAAGUCAGAUGUGAAAUCCGGGGGCUCAACCCCCGAACUGCAUUUGAAACUGUAGGUCUUGAGUAUCGGAGAGGCAGACGGAAUUCCUAGUGUAGCGGUGAAAUGCGUAGAUAUUAGGAGGAACACCAGUGGCGAAGGCGGUCUGCUGGACAGCAACUGACGCUGAGGCGCGAAAGCGUGGGGAGCAAACAGGAUUAGAUACCCGAGUA
rnacentral:rRNA from 1 species